GUGCUCCCUUAGGCAACACAUGUACUAAAAUUGGAGCAAUGCAAAGAUUAGGAUGGCCCCUGCACAAGGAUGACAUGCAAAUUCAUGACGCAUUAAAAAGAGAA
ensembl:snRNA U6 U6 spliceosomal RNA